AAGUCUUUCAAUCUUUUCUGGCAGUUCAUUUUCCACCUUGUGUUUAAGCCUCCGAAGAACAAAUGGGCGAAGCACUUGGUGAAGUCGAUUUAUGAUCAAAAGAUUCUCCUCUUCAGAAAGCAAGGCCUGGUCGGCUGAAUUAUCACCAUUGCUCUCAAAUGGUUUGUUGAACCACUGUGAAAAAUCCUCCGAUGAAUUAAAAAUAUUUGGCAACAAG
rnacentral:misc_RNA from 1 species